UAAAUGUUAUUUCUUUUUAUCACUGCCUGUGUCUUCACAUUUUUUAUCCCCCUAACACUUUUCAGACGAUGCAGUGACCUUCACGUUUGUCAUUGGUCUGAAUGGUAAAAGCAUCAUCCAACCUGGUUUUGUGACACAUUUGUGACACCACUUGGUUUAGGCCUGAAAUGCAACCUGAGGAUGUCAUCCUGCCCCCCUGCUGCUGCCAGCAUGCUCAGGGACAUACCACUGACAUCCUGUGGACAGAGAAAUACAAAACUACCAUGUCACAGAUGAAGGAGGUGUCCUAAUGAAGACAUCUACAAAGCUGACUGACCCGACCAUACAACAGAUGGUCCACACUCCAUGUUGAAUAUCCAGUGCAAAAUAAACACUGACCGCAAUGACCA